GUGUGUAUGCCUGUGUGUGUGUGUGUCAGUAUGUCUGUGUGUAUGCCAGUAUGUCUGUGUGUGUGUGUGUGUGUGUCAGUAUGUCUGUGUGUAUGCCAGUAUGUCUGUGUGUGUAUGCCAGUAUGUCCAGUAUGUCUGUGUGUGUGUGUCAGUAUGUCCCAGUAUGUCUGUGUGUGUAUGCCAGUAUGUCUGUGUGUGUGUGUGUGUGUCAGUAUGUCUGUGUGUAUGCCAGUAUGUCUGUGUGUGUAUGUCAGUGUGUGUGUGUGCGUAUGUCUGUGUGUGUGUGUGUGUCAGUAUGUCUGUGUGUAUGCCAGUAUGUCUGUGUGUGUGUGUGUCAGUAUGUCUGUGUGUGUGUGUAUGUAGGUAUGUCUCUGUGUGUGUG